GGAACUAAUAUCCCAGUUUCUUAUUCUGGUAUGUGUUAUGAUGCCAACAAGCACACAUUUGUCUGUGGUUUUACAGUGUCACUCCUAUUGGGAAACAAUAUCCCAUUUCUUAUUCUGGUAACUCUAAUUGAAUUUAAUGACUACAGAUGACACUAGAGUCACUACUAAGCAUACCUUUCAAGAGGAAUUUGAGUGCUGUCCAAAUGUUUUGUGCAUUAGCCAGAGGUGAACUGUGUAAACUAAUAGAGUACUUGACAUUGUGUAAUAGUGGUGUCUAUACAUUUCAACACAUUUAUGUAAAUAAAUAUACAUGUGUGAUAUCACACACGUGUAUAAGGAUUACAUAAGCUUAUUGAGUUGUAUUGUAUAAUACAAAUGAAUCAAUUACAGAAAGAGCACAACCAUAAAAAGUAACAAGGGCACGGAGACAAAGAGUUUGAUCUCAAUGUUAAGGACUGAUAAGUAGAAAUGUAACUGUGAUAACUGUUGUUGGAAAAUGCAACAUACCCGUUUUUUUAAAUAAUGCCAGUAACAGAAUAAUGUUGGCACACACUAUGAUUGAGAGAGAGUUUUAUACGAUGUUUUGAUGACGCAGUUUUACCUAGUGUUUCUCGUAAAGUGUGGUGCAGAAGAUAUUUCAACUGGAUUGAGCUGAAAUAUUCAUAAACAGUGAAAUUAUCAGAAGUAUAUGAAAUUCAGACAUUGACUUGGAUAUCAUAACCAAUUGUAGCCAGUGGUAUAUUUGGUUGUGAUAACAAUAUUUUGAGUCAUGCAGAUUGAAAUAUUUGAAAUAUGCAAACAGUUUUGUUGAAUAUUUCCUUUGCGUUGUUUCAUUAAAUUUACUCUAAUCUAGCAUGAAAAUGUAGACUGUAUGUGUACUAGGAAAACAUGGACAGUAAUGUGUACAUGGUGAAACUUUUACAUAACUUGGAAACUAUUUCAUUCUAAACCCCUGUUCCUUCAUACUAAAAGUGGGUGCUGUUUACCUUUUAGUCAGAUGGUAUGAAGAACAAUGAAGCAAGGUGGGUGCUCCAACAUCUGAAAGCAGCCACAGGCACAAGUAAUUGGUGAAUUGGAGACAUGCAUAAGCACAAGUCUAGGAAUUUGAAAGUUCUAAUGUUCUCAGGAUAUAUUCAAUUGCAUGAAUAAAUGUGAAACCCGUAAGUAUGUCAUUUGACCAAUAGCUUUAGUCAAAGUUUGUGGGUGUAACCUUGCAUUAUGACCUAUGAAGUGGCUGAACUUUUGUAUAAAUGUGAAGCCCGUAAGUAUGUCAUUUGACCAAUAGCUUUAGUUAAAGUUCGUGGGUGUAACCUUGCAUUAUGACCUAUGAAGUGGCUGAACUUUUGUAUAAAGGUUCAAAUUCUGGAUGCUUUGGCUGCUGUGUUCUUGAAUUUGCUAGCAUUUCCACCUCUUGUUGCUGAGUGUUCUCAAAGGGUUUUUCUAUUAUUUGAUGGACCACUGGUGUGAUUAAGGACUAAUAUGAGGAGACACCUGCUUAGCUUAAGACAUUGGCCCAAGAAGAUGGCUGCCACUUGACAAGUGAAGCAAAUGCUGGACUUUAAACCAAAGUUCCACUGUUGUCAGGAAGGUUACAAGUGCCCACUCGGGAAUUUCAUCAUCAGGAAGCUGCAGUACCGUUUCCCAGUAUAUAUUGUGUGAAUUAUUGUUUUUAUUUAUUUAAUUCUGGUCAUUUCUGUCAGUGUUUUAAUAGAACAUUCUGGUAUAAAUAGGUAUUUAUUCUAAUUAUGGUUUGCUUUUUAUUUGUGUUAGGUUUCAUUUCAAGGUUCUUUGAUGUUGUCAUUUAUUGUAAAAGGGGUUAUAUUAAUGUAUUUUUGCAGAUUUUGACUGUUUAUGUGAUCAUUUAUAUAAAAGAUGUGAUUUUUUUAUAUUGUGUUUUCAUUACCUCAUUAUGUAUUUAAUUCAUUAAAGAGUUUCUAUUUUUUUUAAAGUUUGACAUAGUCUGUUAGACUGCCCCCUUUCUAAAGGGGUAGGCAAUCAAUGUUAAAGUUGUUUACUUUUAUUAGUACAUUACUUUCUUUGUUAAAGGGUACUUUGUGUAUAUAUAAUUGAGUACUUGUAUAUUGCUUCUCUGUGCUGAUUCCAAGGAUGGAAGGAUUAUUGAAUGAGGAUAGAUUAAGAUAAAAUGUGAUGUUAAUGAUGCAUAUUUACAAGAUUAUCCAAGGGAUCGAUAAGAUGAAGACUUCUGGUUUCUUAGUGCUACAUAAAAGGCACAAUUUAAAAUUUGAAAAAGACAGGCUAGACACCAGUUAGGACAAUUUUAUUUAUCUAAUAAAUGAUUUAUUUAUGGUAUGAUUUGCUGUCCACUCUAGUGGAAGUCAGUACUUGAGUUUACUAGGGGAAUCAAUGAUUUCGUGAAAAAUAAAGGAUGAGUUUAAAUUUUUA